GGAUGAGCUUGCGAACCAUCAGCUAGUUGGUAGGGUAACGGCCUACCAAGGCUAAGACGGUUAGCUGGUCUGAGAGGAUGGUCAGCCACACUGGGACUGAGACACUGCCCAGACUCCUACGGGAGGCUGCAGUCGAGAAUAUUUAGCAAUGGACGAAAGUCUGACUAUGCGACGCCGCGUGCAGGAUGAAGGUCUUCGGAUUGUAAACUGCUUUUGUUAGGGGAGAAACCUGUAAUGUUAAUAGCAUUACAGCUGACGGUACCUGACGAAUAAGCCACGGCCAACUCUGUGCCAGCAGCCGCGGUAAUACAGAGGUGGCAAGCGUUACUCGGAAUUAUUGGGUGUAAAGGGCAGGUAGGUGGCUAGGUAAGUGAGAGGUGAAAUCCUGCGGUUCAAUCGCAGAACAGCCUUUCAAACUGCCAAGCUUGAGAACGACAGAGGAAGAUGGAAUUUCCGGUGUAAGGGUGAAAUCUGUAGAUAUCGGAAAGAACACCAACGGCGAAGGCAAUCUUCUGGGUCGUUUCUGACACUGAGCUGCGAAAGCUAGGGGAGCAAACAGAAUUAGAUACUCUGGUAGUCCUAGCCGUAAACGAUGAGUACUAGGUGUUGGCUCCUCGGGAGUCGGUGCCGAAGCAAACGCCAUUAA
rnacentral:rRNA from 1 species